rnacentral:rRNA from 1 species
GAUGAACGCUGGCGGCGUGCUUAACACAUGCAAGUCGAACGGAAAGGCCCUGCUUGCAGGGUACUCGAGUGGCGAACGGGUGAGUAACACGUGGGUGAUCUGCCCUGUACUUUGGGAUAAGCCUGGGAAACUGGGUCUAAUACCGAAUAUGACCACUUCUUGGAUGGGGUGGUGGAAAGCUUUUGCGGCAUGGGAUGAGCUCGCGGCCUAUCAGCUUGUUGGUGGGGUAAUGGCCUACCAAGGCGUCGGACGGGUAGCCGGCCUGAGAGGGUGUACGGCCACAUUGGGACUGAGAUACGGCCCAG